ACGGCUCAGUAACACUUGGACAAUUUACCCUUGGGACCAGGAUAACCCCUGGGAAACUGGGGCUAAUACUGGAUGGAGCAUCGGCUGCUGGAAUGCGCGAUGCUCGAAAGCUGAGGCGCCCAAGGAUAGGUCUGCGGCUGAUUAGGUUGUUGUUGAUGUAACGGAUCAACAAGCCCGCGAUCGGUACGGGUUGUGAGAGCAAUAGCCCGGAGAUGGGUUCUGAGAAAAGAACCCAGGUCCUACGGGACGCAUCAGGCGCGAAAACUUUACAAUGUGCGAAAGCGCGAUAAGGGAACUCUGAGUGCCUCCUAAGGAGGCUGUUCAGGUGUCUAAAAAGCAUCUGGAGUAAGGGCUGGGCAAGACCGGUGCCAGCCGCCGCGGUAACACCGGCAGCUCAAGUGGUAGCCAUGCUUAUUGGGUCUAAAGCGUCCGUAGCCGGCUGAGUAAGUUCCUUGGGAAAUUUGACCGCUUAACGGUUAAGCUAUCAGGGAAUACUGCUUGGCUUGGGACCGGGAGAGGUCAGAGGUACUCCAGGGGUAGGGGUGAAAUCUAUUAAUCCUUGGGGGACCACCGGUAGCGAAGGCGUCUGACCAGACCGGGUCCGACGGUGAGGGACGAAGGCUGGGGUCGCGAACCGGAUUAGAUACCCGGGUAGUCCCAGCUGUAAACGAUGCGGGCCAGGUGUUGGCAUUACUGCGAGUGAUGUCAGUGCCAAAGGGAAGCCGUUAAGCCCGCCAUCUGGGGAGUACGGUGCGCAAGGCUGAAACUUAAAGAAAUUGGCGGGGGAGCACCACAACGGAUGGAGCCUGCGGUUCAAUUGGAGUCAACG
rnacentral:rRNA from 1 species